rnacentral:misc_RNA from 1 species
GAUGAAGAACGUAGCGAAAUGCGAUAAGUAAUGUGAAUUGCAGAAUUCAGUGAAUCAUCGAAUCUUUGAACGCACCUUGCGCUCCUUGGUAUUCCGAGGAGCAUGCCUGUUUGAGUGUCAUGAAAUUCUCAACCUUUUCAGCUUUCUUUGUUGAUCAGGCUUGGAUGUGGGAGUAUGCGGGCUUCUCAGAAGUCGGCUCUCCUGAAAUGCAUUAGCGGGACCUUUGUUGCCUGGCUUUGGUGUGAUAAUUAUCUACGCCAUUGUAGUCAAGCAGCUUAAAAUGAGGUUUCAGCUUCUAACCGUCUCCCCUGAGACAACUUUUUGACAAUUUGACCUCAAAUCAGGUAGGACUACCCGCUGAACUUAAGCAUAUCAAUAAGAGGAGGA